rnacentral:rRNA from 1 species
GUGCCAGCCGCCGCGGUAACACGUAGGGGGCGAGCGUUGUUCGGAAUUACUGGGCGUAAAGGGCAUGUAGGCGGCUUUGUAAGCUUGGCGUGAAAUUCCACGGCUUAACCGUGGGAAUGCGUUGAGAACUGCGAGGCUUGAGUGACGGAGAGGGAGCUAGAAUUCCUGGUGUAGGGGUGGAAUCUGUAGAGAUCAGGAAGAAUACCAAUGGCGAAGGCAAGCUCCUGGCCGAUGACUGACGCUGAGGUGCGAAAGUGUGGGGAUCAAACAGGAUUAGAAACCCGCGUAGUCC